CUAAAUACUCUACCCAAUGCUAGGUGAAUUACAUUUUUUUGUAGUUUAAUGGUGAGUACAGGCACCAUUACCUGCCUUAUGUGAGUUCCAGACACUGCUCCUUCCAAGUCUUUAGGGAAGUUCUUUCCCCAACUUUGGGCAGUUUCUUCACAAACAUGCUCUGAUUACUGCUCUGUUGAAUAAAUAAAGGAAAAUCUCUACAGAUCUCUGUGUGCAGAUGCCCUCUCUAGUAUGCUUCCCAGUAAACUCCAGCCACUUUCAUCUAUUCAGAUUUUUAGCUUUGACUCCUCAACUUGGUGACUCUACUGUGAUCUCCAACCCCAGGUCAUGGCCUGGAAUCUCUUGUAAGGCAGAACUGUGAAACAACCCUGCCUUACCUGAUUUAUUUUCUUUUCUCUCAUAGAUCACUGUGUUUCAUUGCUGAUGUCCAGUGUAUUGAAAACCAUUAUUUCACAUAUUUUUUUCUGUUUUGUUUGCUUCAGGUUGAUCCUGAGAUCUUGUUCCCGAUCUUCCAUUUUUGCAAAGACUGAAGGUUCAAUCUAUUUUUUAGACCAUUAUUUUUGUUCUGUCAUACCUCAGAUUAAAGAUUUUGGGCUUGAUUUCUUGGUCAGAGAGAGCUAUUGAAGGUUCGUGAGCAGGCAAAGGCCACAUAACUCUGUGUCAUUGGCUCAAGCUGACCAAGUCAUACAUCAUGUGACCUGCACCCAACUAUAGGGAGCUGCUGCAUUUGUUUCAUUCCUUCUUCAUGGCAAAAGUCCUAGGUAGAGCCCAACGUGCUGCCAUGAGCUGUGGGAGGUACUGUGAUGAAUAUAACUUCAAGGAAUUCAGGAGUUGGUGGAGGAGCUUUACAAGUCAAAACAUCCAAUAAUGACUUGUUUUCACUGAAUUUACCUGAAUGCUCUGUUAAGUUAUGGAGACCUGUCUCCUGUGAUUCAUUAGAUAGAAGCACUAUGGAUAAUAAGACUCUCAAAAUACUGUUCUCAUUGAUAUCGAAUCUGUCUUGAUGAACUGCAGCAAUUGAGAAAGAUCCCUUUGCCCAGCCUUUACCAAUCUCCCUGCCCUUGAUUUAGCAGGACUUGAAUCACAGCAGAACUGGAAAUAAAGUCAAUACUAUACAUAUAAAAGAAAGUGUUGGUCAAUUGCUUUCUCUAUGAUAUUCUAGUAAUUUAAUUGUACUUUCAGGUUAGAAAAGUAAAAUAAAACAAUUCUAAG
rnacentral:lncRNA from 1 species